CCUACGGGGGGCUGCAGUGGGGAAUUUUGGACAAUGGGCGAAAGCCUGAUCCAGCCAUGCCGCGUGCGGGAAGAAGGCCUUCGGGUUGUAAACCGCUUUUGUCAGGGAAGAAAUCUUUCGAGCUAAUACCUUGAGAGGAUGACGGUACCUGAAGAAUAAGCACCGGCUAACUACGUGCCAGCAGCCGCGGUAAUACGUAGGGUGCGAGCGUUCGUCGGAAUUACUGGGGGUAAUGCGUGCGCAGGCGGUUAAAUCCCCGGGCUUAACCUGGGAACUGCACUGGUGACUGCACGGCUGGAGUACGGCAGAGGGGGAUGGAAUUCCGCGUGUAGCAGUGAAAUGCGUAGAUAUGCGGAGGAACACCGAUGGCGAAGGCAGUCCCCUGGGCCUGUACUGACGCUCAUGCACGAAAGCGUGGGGAGCAAACAGGAUUAGAUACCCCUGUAGUC
rnacentral:rRNA from 1 species